AAUACCAUUUUAUCCGCCCCCAUCCCGAGCUGCUUUCUCUCUCCCAAGGCGAUUUCCAGAUCUAGGGUUUCAAUGACAUCGAAUCGUUGAUUUUCUCUCUAUCCCACAGAAGAUCCACUGGGGUUGACCUCUAGGUACCGUUUUAAACCAUCUUCUCUGAGAUCGGCUGCUGCUUAUGUUAAUCCUCAUGGUCUUCUGUUCAGAUCUGGUUUUAAUACAGAGAACUAAAGGCUAGGGUUCGACUAACUGGCAGUUAACUUCUCCGAGAUCCGUUGCUGCUCGUGUUAAUCCUCAUCUUCUUCUGUUCAGAUCUGGCUUUAAUAAUGAGAACUAAAGGCUAGGGUUCGACUAACUGGCAGUUAACUUCUCCGAGAUCCGUUGCUGCUCGUGUUAAUCCUCAUCUUCUUCUGUUCAGAUCUGGCUUUAAUAAUGGUGGCUGAACAACAAGUGAGUAGCUUGUGUUUGGAGGCUCAUGAGUUCAUGAUUGCUGGUAGAUGGUUGGAUUUGGCUUUGUUGAUGAUUACUUCUGCUGAUUUGGUGUUUUCCAAAGCGUCAAAUAAAGUGAGAGAAGACGAAGGCUUCCGGCGAGAAAGUUAGGAAUGAUAUGAUUCACGUCAAAGUUUAAGCGUUAUUUAACGAAGGACCUGCCAGAUAUUGUGAUGCAGGUAUCUGUGAUGAAAAGGCUUCGACAUCCAAAUAUUGUGCUCUUCAUGGGUGCAGUAAUUUCACCUAACCACAUGGUGACGUUUUUUUGCGUCGUACGAUCCAUGUCGGCCCGGUGUCCGAGUUGCUGUCCAACUGUGCGUAAAGGCCCGUGUUAAGGUAAGAAUGGUGACGGGUGACAAUCUUCAAACCGCCAAGGCAAUUGCGUUAGAAUGCGGUAUACUUGGGUCAGAUGCGGACGCUACCAAGCCAAACCUAAUUGAAAGGAAGUCCUUCCGUGCAAUGUCGGAUGCACAAAGACUCGAAGUAGCUGAGAGGAUAUCGGUGAUGGGGAAGUCGUCUCCUAACAAUAACUGUUACUCGUGCAAGCUCUGAGGAAAAGAGGACAUGUCGUUGCGGUUACUGGAGAUGGAACUGGCGAUGCCCCUGCUUUACAUGAGGCGGAUAUCGGUCUUGCUAUGGGUACUCAAGGCACUGAAGUAGCAGAAGAGAGUAGUGACAUCAUCAUAUUGGACGAUAACUUUGCUUCGGUUGUUAGGGAGGUUGAAAAGAGGUGAACAGCUGGGUUGAAAAGAGGGAAUAGUGGUCAACAAUGGUCAGAAGGGUGAAAAGAGGGAACAACUGUAGCUUGCUUGAAAAGAGGGAACAAUGGUCAACACUGGUCGGUAUGCUGAAAAGAGGUGAACUGUGGUCAGAAUUCAGCAGUCUGCUGAAAAGAGAAUACUAUUUUCAUCUGGGUCUUCCAUUGUUUCUCACCUCUAUUCCUAACACAUUUGAUUCUUGCAUUAUUUCUCUAUUUUUAACAUCUUGGUUCUGCGUUGUGGUAAGUAUUUCUCACAUUUCGACUGUUUAUUUUGUAUGUGUGUUGUACUCUUACAUAGUGAUAACAAUGUUUGAUACACCGAUUGUAAAAAUCUUACACUAUUUUAGUUGUUAAGACUUAUCGACUGUUUUAUUUUA